GAGGAUAGUCAAGGGGUAGCCAAAGUCAAAGGAUGCCAGAGGUCAGAAUAAAUGAAGAGUAGCCAAAGUCAAAGGAUGCCAGAGAUCAGGAUAAAUGAAGUGUAGCCAAAGUCAGGGGAUGCCAGAGGUAAGGAUAAACAAAGCCAGAAGCCUGGGUCAAUAUGGAGUACAAGUUCAGGAGACUUGAAAACAGGAACUGAACACUUAAACCAGG